UUGCUCUUAUGAAGUUAGCGGCGGACGGGUGAGUAACACGUGGGUAACCUGCCCAUAAGACUGGGAUAACUCCGGGAAACCGGGGCUAAUACCGGAUAACAUUUUGAACCGCAUGGUUCGAAAUUGAAAGGCGGCUUCGGCUGUCACUUAUGGAUGGACCCGCGUCGCAUUAGCUAGUUGGUGAGGUAACGGCUCACCAAGGCAACGAUGCGUAGCCGACCUGAGAGGGUGAUCGGCCACACUGGGACUGAGACACGGCCCAGACUCCUACGGGAGGCAGCAGUAGGGAAUCUUCCGCAAUGGACGAAAGUCUGACGGAGCAACGCCGCGUGAGUGAUGAAGGCUUUCGGGUCGUAAAACUCUGUUGUUAGGGAAGAACAAGUGCUAGUUGAAUAAGCUGGCACCUUGACGGUACCUAACCAAAAAGCCACGGCUAACUACGUGCCAGCAGCCGCGGUAA
rnacentral:rRNA from 1 species